rnacentral:rRNA from 1 species
AGGAGGAAGUAUGCCACCCUGAACAAGCCCAAUCUCACCUCAGAAGCUAAGCAGGGUCGGGCCUGGUUAGUACUUGGAUGGGAGACCACCUAGGAAGAUCAGGUAGAUGCUUUAG